rnacentral:rRNA from 1 species
GACGAACGCUGGCGGCGUGCUUAACACAUGCAAGUCGAACGGAAAGGCCCUGCUUUUGUGGGGUGCUCGAGUGGCGAACGGGUGAGUAACACGUGAGUAACCUGCCCUUGACUUUGGGAUAACUUCAGGAAACUGGGGCUAAUACCGGCUAGGAGCUCCUGCUGCAUGGUGGGGGUUGGAAAGUUUCGGCGGUUGGGGAUGGACUCGCGGCUUAUCAGCUUGUUGGUGGGGUAGUGGCUUACCAAGGCUUUGACGGGUAGCCGGCCUGAGAGGGUGACCGGCCACAUGGGGACUGAGAUACGGCCCAGACUCCUACGGGAGGCAGCAGGGGGGAAUAUUGCACAAUGGGCGGAAGCCUGAUGCAGCAACGCCGCGUGCGGGAUGACGGCCUUCGGGUUGUAAACCGCUUUCGCCUGUGACGAAGCGUGAGUGACGGUAAUGGGUAAAGAAGCACCGGCUAACUACGUG